ACGACGCUGGCGGCGCGCCUAACACAUGCAAGUCGAACGAGAGAUGAGGAGCUUGCUCUUCAAAUCGAGUGGCGAACGGGUGAGUAACGCGUGAGGAACCUGCCUCAAAGAGGGGGACAACAGUUGGAAACGACUGCUAAUACCGCAUAAGCCCACGGCUCGGCAUCGAGCAGAGGGAAAAGGAGCAAUCCGCUUUGAGAUGGCCUCGCGUCCGAUUAGCUAGUUGGUGAGGUAAUGGCCCACCAAGGCGACGAUCGGUAGCCGGACUGAGAGGUUGAACGGCCACAUUGGGACUGAGACACGGCCCAGACUCCUACGGGAGGCAGCAGUGGGGAAUAUUGCACAAUGGGGGAAACCCUGAUGCAGCGACGCCGCGUGGAGGAAGAAGGUCUUCGGAUUGUAAACUCCUGUUGUUGAGGAAGAUAAUGACGGUACUCAACAAGGAAGUGACGGCUAACUACGUG
rnacentral:rRNA from 1 species